rnacentral:rRNA from 1 species
AUGAUGGUAUACUUGUCAUAUAUUCAGCCUAAACUCACUGUACACAUUGAUCCAACAUGGAUCGGCUACCAAAAUGGCGGAGACAAGGCUCUAACAAUCGAGGCAUUCAGUGAAAGUGAAAGGUGUUUGGGGCUUCCGACAGCCGUGGGCCGUAUUACUAGUGGAACUUUUGCUCACAUUGGAGAUGGAGCUCGCGGGAAGAUGCAAGGCUGGUCUGAAAGGUUGCUGGCAUGUGCUGAGAAAGAUGCACUGAUUAAAUCUGUAGUACAUGCACUUCCUACAUAUAGCAUGACCACUUUUUUGUUGAACAAAAAAGCAUGCAAAAGCAUCACUUCACCAAUGGCAAAAAAAUUCUGGAGUAGUUCGUUGGACAAGAAAUCUAUGCAUUGGGUUGCUUGGGAUAAACUUGCGACGCCGAAGUGCAAAGGGGGCAUGGGAUACCGAGACAUGCACCUGUUUAACUUGGCUCUAUUGGGGAAACACGGUUGGCGAUUUUUGACCACGCCGGACUCCCUAUGUGCGCAAGUUUUGAAGGGCAGGUACUUCCUGGACGUGGACUUCAUGCAGGCAGUUCUUCCAAAGAAUGCGUCAACUACACGGCGAGCGAUCAUCGCCGGAAGGGAAGCACUACGGGUUGGACUGAUAAAACGAGCUGGUGAUGGAACAUCAAUUUCGGUAUGGGAUGACAUGUGGAUCUGGGGAACUACAUCCAUGAAACCAAUGCUGAGACCAGAGAACACCAUGAUUGAAAAGGUGUCCGAGCUCAUUGACCAAGAGAACUGGACAUGGAAUCAGCAAGUGCUUGGGUUUAAAUCGGCGUACCGUACUCUCGUGAAUCACAAAGAGCGUUUGGCUCUAGAUGAAGGGACGGCUACCGGCACCUCAGUGAGCGAUCAACAGAUGUGGUUUGCACUAUGGAAGCUGAACGUCGUGCCCAAGAUGAGAGUGUUCUGGUGA